rnacentral:tRNA from 1 species
AUCCAGGGAUGGGAAACGAACCCACAGUGGUCCUCUUACUGGGCAGAUGCCAUGUCCACUAGGCUACCCUAGA